rnacentral:misc_RNA from 1 species
AAUUAUCAACCUUUGCUCUUGCUUUCAUUAGCUCGAGUUAGGCUUGGAUGUGAGGGUCUUGCUGGCUUUCGUGGUCUGCUCCCUUUAAAUACAUUAGUGGGAUCUAUUGUGGACCGUCACUUGGUGUGAUAAUUAUCUAUGCCUUUUGACUUUGAAGCAAACUUUAUUAGAACCUGCUUAUAACCGUCCUUAUGGACAACUUAUUGACA